rnacentral:rRNA from 1 species
UACGGAGGAUGCGAGCGUUAUCCGGAUUUAUUGGGUUUAAAGGGUGCGUAGGCGGGUUAUCAAGUCAGCGGUAAAAUCGUGGAGCUCAACUCCAUCCAGCCGUUGAAACUGAUGAUCUUGAGUGGGCGAGAAGUAUGCGGAAUGCGUGGUGUAGCGGUGAAAUGCAUAGAUAUCACGCAGAACUCCGAUUGCGAAGGCAGCAUACCGGCGCCCGACUGACGCUGAAGCACGAAAGCGUGGGUAUCGUACAGG